UACGUAGGGUGCAAGCGUUAAUCGGAAUUACUGGGCGUAAAGCGUGCGCAGGCGGCUUUGCAAGACAGAUGUGAAAUCCCCGGGCUUAACCUGGGAACUGCAUUUGUGACUGCAUGGCUGGAGUGCGGCAGAGGGGGAUGGAAUUCCGCGUGUAGCAGUGAAAUGCGUAGAUAUGCGGAGGAACACCGAUGGCGAAGGCAAGCCCCUGGGCCGGCACUGACGCUCAUGCACGAAAGCGUGGGGAGCAAACAGG
rnacentral:rRNA from 1 species